rnacentral:rRNA from 1 species
GACGUAGGGCGCGAGCGUUGUCCGGAUUUAUUGGGCGUAAAGGGAGCGUAGGUGGUGCGGUAAGCCCUCCGGGAAAGCUUCAGGCUUAACCCUGAAAAAGGUCGGGGGACUGGCCACGCUAGAGGACGGGAGAGGAGCGCGGAAUUCCCGGUGUAGCGGUGAAAUGCGUAGAGAUCGGGAGGAAGGCCGGUGGCGAAGGCGGCGCUCUGGAACGUUUCUGACACUGAGGCUCGAAAGCGUGGAGCAAACAGGG